GAGAGAGAGAGAGAGAGAGUUGAAUAAGGAAAUAGCAGACACUUCAAACUGGAAUACUUUUGAUGACACAAGUGAAGACCAAGUUCAAGCCCAGGGCAUGACCCUAGAGACACUGAUGUGGAUCAGACCAUUAUAAAAGGAUGGGUUCCAGCUGCAGUGGUCAGAAACGUCAGAAAGAUGACAUCCACCAUCCAGACAAAGGCUCUCAAACCACCAACUCCUCCAACCACACUGCACACAAUACGGAACAGGCUUCCGGUAAUGACGAAGACGUUGCCAUUGCUCUGCACGACUUCAAACCAACCACGGAACAAUGACCUGCCGUUCAAAAAAGGGAGAGAGGCUUCAGAUCCUC